GAUAAAAUGGCUGAGGUUAAGCAAUAAAUUGUAAAUUUAUGAACGAAUGAAUAUUCUUUUAUCA
rnacentral:tRNA from 1 species